GGGGGUCUGGCUCAGUGGUAGAGCGUUCGCUUCGCAUGUGAAAGGUCCGGGGUUCAAAUCCGCGCUCCUCCA
rnacentral:tRNA from 1 species